UGAGAGCUGGGGGCACCAGCCAGGUGAGGCGGACAGGGCUACCUCAGCUUGCCUGGCCCAGCCCCAACCUUUUCCUCGUGCCCUCAGGAGGCAGCGGCUAUUAUUGCCCAGCGGCCUGACAACCCAAGGGAGUUCUUCAAGCAGCAGGAAAGAGUCGCAUCAGCCUCUGCGGGCAGCUGUGAUGUGCCCUCGCCCUUCAACCAUCGACCAGGCAGCCACCUGGACAGCCACCGGAGGAUGGCGCCCACUCCCAUCCCCACGCGGAGCCCGUCUGACUCCAGCACCGCCUCCACCCCUGUCGCUGAGCAGAUAGAGCGGGCCCUGGAUGAGGUCACAUCCUCGCAGCCUCCACCACUGCCACCGCCACCCCCACCAGUCCAAGAGACCCAGGAGCCCAGCCCAAUCCUAGACAGUGAGGAGACCAGAGCAGCAGCCCCUCAGGCCUGGGCCAGCCCCAUGGAGGAGCCCCCUCAGGCACAGGUGCCUCCCGGGGGCCCAGGCAGCCCUGCAGAGGACUUGAUGUUCAUGGAGGCUGCAGAGCAGGCUGUCCUGGCUGCUCCCGUGGAGCCUGCCACAGCCGACGCCACAGAGGUCCACGAUGCAGCUGACGCCAUUGAAACUGCCACUGCCACUGCUGACACCACUGUUGCCAACAACGUGCCCCCCGCCGCCACCAGCCUCAUUGACCUAUGGCCUGGCAACGGGGAAGGGGCCUCCACACUCCAGGGUGAGCCCAGGGCCCCCACACCACCCUCGGGUACUGAGGUCACCCUGGCAGAGGUGCCCCUGCUGG
rnacentral:sRNA from 1 species